rnacentral:rRNA from 1 species
GAUGAACGCUGGCAGCGUGCUUAACACAUGCAAGUCGAACGGUGAAGCAGGAGCUUGCUCUUGUGGAUCAGUGGCGAACGGGUGAGUAACACGUGAGCAACCUGCCCCUGACUCUGGGAUAAGCGCUGGAAACGGCGUCUAAUACUGGAUAUGUGAUGUGACCGCAUGGUCUGCAUCUGGAAAGAAUUUCGGUUGGGGAUGGGCUCGCGGCCUAUCAGCUUGUUGGUGAGGUAAUGGCUAACCAAGGCGUCGACGGGUAGCCGGCCUGAGAGGGUGACCGGCCACACUGGGACUGAGACACGGCCCAGACUCCUACGGGAGGCAGCAGUGGGGAAUAUUGCACAAUGGGCGGAAGCCUGAUGCAGCAACGCCGCGUGAGGGAUGACGGCCUUCGGGUUGUAAACCUCUUUUAGCAGGGAAGAAGCGAAAGUGACGGUACCUGCAGAAAAAGCACCGGCUAACUACGUGCCAGCAGCCGCCGUAA